rnacentral:rRNA from 1 species
AGUCGUAACAAGGUCUCCGUUGGUGAACCAGCGGAGGGAUCAUUACCGAGUUUACAACUCCCAAACCCCUGUGAACAUACCAAUUGUUGCCUCGGCGGAUCAGCCCGCUCCCGGUAAAACGGGACGGCCCGCCAGAGGACCCCUAAACUCUGUUUCUAUAUGUAACUUCUGAGUAAAACCAUAGAUAAAUCAAAACUUUCAACAACGGAUCUCUUGGUUCUGGCAUCGAUGAAGAACGCAGCAAAAUGCGAUAAGUAAUGUGAAUUGCAGAAUUCAGUGAAUCAUCGAAUCUUUGAACGCACAUUGCGCCCGCCAGUAUUCUGGCGGGCAUGCCUGUUCGAGCGUCAUUUCAACCCUCAAGCCCAGCUUGGUGUUGGGACUCGCGAGUCAAAUCGCGUUCCCCAAAUUGAUUGGCGGUCACGUCGAGCUUCCAUAGCGUAGUAGUAAAACCCUCGUUACUGGUAAUCGUCGCGGCCACGCCGUUAAACCCCAACUUCUGAAUGUUGACCUCGGAUCAGGUAGGAAUACCCGCUGAACUUAAGCA